rnacentral:rRNA from 1 species
UACGUAGGGUGCGAGCGUUAAUCGGAAUUACUGGGCGUAAAGCGCACGUAGGCGGAUUGUUAAGUCAGGGGUGAAAUCCUGGAGCUCAACUCCAGAACUGCCUUUGAUACUGGCAAUCUUGAGUCCGGAAGAGGUGAGUGGAACUCCUAGUGUAGAGGUGGAAUUCGUAGAUAUUAGGAAGAACACCAGUGGCGAAGGCGGCUCACUGGUCCGGUACUGACGCUGAGGUGCGAAAGCGUGGGGAGCAAACAGG